rnacentral:lncRNA from 1 species
CGGUAAUCACAUUCAAUAGACUAUCAGAAAUUGCUUACUGUAAUAUUGCUGUUUAUCAAUAUUUAAAGACUGUAACUCAAUAGAGCAGCCGUUGAUGAUGGUGAAAAUACACAUUCACCACAAUGGAAUAUGUAACGCCAUAUUCACCACAAUGGAAAGAUUCUCGGAUCCAAGAUCACUCCCAUCUUUCGUAAUCAGCAAAACCAAAUUUCGAGAGGUUACUCUCAACUGUAAUUUAAUUCUUUCUUGUCGAUGGAUUAUUUCUCAAACGAUAAGUCGAUGCAUGGGCAUAAUCAGCCAAUUCAGUAAACAAGAUGAAUGACUGUGAUUUGUAGGAAGAUAUUUUGCUUUUACAAGAAUUAAA